rnacentral:rRNA from 1 species
CCUACGGGGGGCAGCAGUAAGGAAUAUUGGUCAAUGGACGCAAGUCUGAACCAGCCAUGCCGCGUGAAGGAUGAAGGUCCUCUGGAUUGUAAACUUCUUUUAUCUGGGACGAAACCACUCUUUUCUAAGAGUGUUGACGGUACCAGAGGAAUAAGCACCGGCUAACUCCGUGCCAGCAGCCGCGGUAAUACGGAGGGUGCAAGCGUUAUCCGGAUUCACUGGGUUUAAAGGGUGCGUAGGCGGAUCAGUAAGUCCGUGGUGAAAUCUCCAAGCUUAACUUGGAAACUGCCAUGGAUACUAUUGAUCUUGAAUGUUGUGGAGGUUUGCGGAAUAUGUCAUGUAGCGGUGAAAUGCUUAGAUAUGACAUAGAACACCGAUUGCGAAGGCAGCAGGCUACACAAAUAUUGACGCUGAGGCACGAAAGCGUGGGGAUCAAACAGGAUUAGAUACCCGAGUAGUC